rnacentral:rRNA from 1 species
ACGGAGGGUGCAAGCGUUAAUCGGAAUUACUGGGCGUAAAGCGCACGCAGGCGGUCUGUCAAGUCGGAUGUGAAAUCCCCGGGCUUAACCUGGGAACUGCAUUCGAAACUGGCAGGCUGGAGUCUCGUAGAGGGGGGUAGAAUUCCAGGUGUAGCGGUGAAAUGCGUAGAUAUCGGGAGGAACACCUGUGGCGAAAGCGGCGCACUGGACCAUAACUGACGCUGAGGCGCGAAAGCUAGGGGAGCAAACAGGA